rnacentral:rRNA from 1 species
CCUACGGGUGGCAGCAGUGGGGGAUAUUGGACAAUGGGGGGAACCCUGAUCCAGCGACGCCGCGUGAGUGAAGAAGUACCUCGGUAUGUAAAGCUCUAUCAGCAGGGAAGAAGAAAUGACGGUACCUGCGUAUGUAGCUCUGGCUAACUACGUGCCAGCAGCCGCGGUAAUACGUAGGGGGCAAGCGUUAUCCGGAAUUACUGGGUGUAAAGGGAGCGUAGACGGUGAUGUAAGUCUGGAGUGAAAGGCGGGGGCGCAACCCCCGGACUGCUCUGGAAACUAUGUGACUGGAGUGCAGGAGAGGGGAGCGGAAUUCCUGGGGUAGCGGGGAAAUGCGUAGAUAAUAGG